CGCGGGGUAGAGCAGUUUGUAGCUCGUCGGGCUCAUAACCCGGAGGUCGUUGGUUCAAGUCCAGCCCCCGCAACCA
rnacentral:tRNA from 1 species